UUGUAGCGCGCAAGGGAUAAUAGCGGAAAGCCCACAAUGCCGCAUUUUUGCGGUGCGAGGACUUAUAGCGGAUAGCCCGACGCAGC
rnacentral:sRNA from 1 species